UAGGGAAGGCAGCAGUGGGGAAUAUUGCACAAUGGGCGCAAGCCUGAUGCAGCCAUGCCGCGUGUAUGAAGAAGGCCUUCGGGUUGUAAAGUACUUUCAGUCGUGAGGAAGGUGUUAAGGUUAAUAACCUUAGCAAUUGACGUUAGCGACAGAAGAAGCACCGGCUAACUCCGUGCCAGCAGCCGCGGUAAUACGGAGGGUGCGAGCGUUAAUCGGAAUUACUGGGCGUAAAGGGCACGCAGGCGGUUAAUUAAGUUGGAUGUGAAAUCCCCGGGCUUAACCUGGGAAUGGCAUUCAAGACUGGUUAGCUAGAGUCUUGUAGAGGGGGUAGAAUUCCAUGUGUAGCGGUGAAAUGCGUAGAGAUGUGGAGGAAUACCGGUGGCGAAGGCGGCCCCUGGACAAAGACUGACGCUCAUGUGCGAAAGCGUGGGGA
rnacentral:rRNA from 1 species